rnacentral:rRNA from 1 species
UACGAAGGGGACUAGCGUUGUUCGGAUUUACUGGGCGUAAAGCGCGCGUAGGCGGAUCGCUAAGUCAGGGGUGAAAUCCCAGGGCUCAACCCUGGAACUGCCUUUGAUACUGACGAUCUGGAGAUCGGGAGAGGUUGGUGGAAUUCCGAGUGUAGAGGUGAAAUUCGUAGAUAUUCGGAGGAACACUAGAAGCGAAGGCGGCCAACUGGCCCGAUACUGACGCUGAGGCGCGAAAGCGUGGGGAGCAAACAGG